rnacentral:rRNA from 1 species
GGCCUAACACAUGCAAGUCGAACGCCCCUUCGGGGGAGUGGCAGACGGGUGAGUAACACGUGGGAACCUACCCAGGAGUACGGAAUAACUCAGGGGAAACUUGAGCUAAUACCGUAUACGUCCUUCGGGAGAAAGUUUUAACGCUCUUGGAUGGGCCCGCGUCGCAUUAGCUAGUUGGUGGGGUAAUGGCCUACCAAGGCUUCGAUGCGUAGCUGGUCUGAGAGGAUGAUCAGCCACACUGGGACUGAGACACGGCCCAGACUCCUACGGGAGGCAGCAGUGGGGAAUCUUGGACAAUGGGCGCAAGCCUGAUCCAGCCAUGCCGCGUGAGUGAUGAAGGCCCUAGGGUUGUAAAGCUCUUUCACCGGUGAAGAUAAUGACGGUAGCCGGAGAAGAAGCCCCGGCUAACUCCGUGCCAGCAGCCGCGGUAAUACGGAGGGGGCUAGCGUUGUUCGGAAUUACUGGGCGUAAAGCGCACGUAGGCGGGUAUCCAAGUUGGGGGUGAAAUCCCGGGCUCAACCCCGGAACUGCCUCCAAAACUGGGUACCUAGAGUCCGAGAGAGGUGAGUGGAAUUCCCAGUGUAGAGGUGAAAUUCGUAGAUAUUGGGAAGAACACCAGUGGCGAAGGCGGCUCACUGGCUCGGUACUGACGCUGAGGUGC